rnacentral:rRNA from 1 species
GACGAACGCUGGCGGCGUGGAUUAGGCAUGCAAGUCGGACGGUAGGGCUUUAUCGUAAGAUAGAGUUUGAGAGUGGCGAACGGGUGAGUAACACGUAGGAAUCUACCCUUAAGACGGGGACAACCCAGGGAAACUUGGGCUAAUACCGGAUGAGAGUGCGAGAGAUUGCAUUUAAAAGGAUGGCGAAAGUUGUCGCUUUGGGAUGGGCCCGCGUCCCAUUAGCUAGUUGGUGAGGUAACGGCUCACCAAGGCGACGAUGGGUAGCCGGCCUGAGAGGGUGGACGGCCACACUGGGACUGAGACACGGCCCAGACUCCUACGGGAGGCAGCAGUAGGGAAUAUUGCGCAAUGGACGGAAGUCUGACGCAGCGACGCCGCGUGAGCGAUGAAGGUCUUCGGAUCGUAAAGCUCUGUCCUUGGGGAAGAAGGCGAAAGCUUGACGGUACCCAAGAAGAAAGCCCCGGCUAACUACGUG